rnacentral:lncRNA from 1 species
UGGCCGGUGCUGAGGAACCCAGGCACCCAGCACCGUGACCCUUCUCACUCCCAGGCCUCCUGUGGUGGUCUUGAGGAAGGGGCUGUGCAGGUCCCUCUGGAGUGGUCUGCCUUGGCUGGGAGGAUGAGAAAGAUGGGGCAGGCUGUUGGCAGGCACACCUGACAGGUGCAUGGCUGGCUGAUUGAUGAACUGUGACAGCCUGAGGUUCAGACAGCGCCCUCAGGGCACCCCUAGCCAUGCACUGGGACUCCCUAAACUUCCUGGCUCUAGUCUAGGUGAACUGUGCAUGAGGGGCUGGGACAUGAGCUCCCAAUACUGGUCUUUCUUCCUCAGGCUCCUUACAAGAGCUCAACCCCACUACCAGGAGGAGUUUUGGGGUGCCAGGUAGCUCAGAGUGCAAGGUGAAAAGGUCAAGGGUCUCAGGUUGGGGAUGGCAGGGGUGGGUCUGCCUGGGAGGAGGCUGCUGGGGUGAGGAGGAGGCUCUUCAGUGAAGCACCUUCCACACUACAUAAAAUGGCUUUAACAAAUUCAGGAAUCAGGCAAAGGCUGGCCCCUGGGGUCUGCAGGUUCCCUCUCAAACCUGGGCCCAAAGUGCUUUUCCUUUCCAGGACCUGGCCCAGAGGGAAGAGAGGAGUGAGGCAGAGCCUGAGACCCAGAAAAGAAAGCUCACUCCCGGGACCCCUGGGCCGGGGGACCUGCCCUCCCAAAACCUGCCUUCCCAAGAUGCCCUUGAAGGGCUGGGCUCGGACCCGCACCUGGGCCAGGAGAGAGCAGAACUUCAAAGACCACCAAGGAUGGACACCCCUGAGUCUGAGAGGAGGACCCUCAGGAUCAGAAAGCGGAGACCCCUCAGCGUAAGAGAGCCGAGGCCUCCUGGGGCGAGAUCAAAGAUGCUCCUCAGAGUCAGAAGGUGAAGACACACGGGGGCCAGAGCCCAAGGGCUCCUCAGGGUCAGAGGGAGGAGUCGAAGAGAAUUUAGUCCUAAGUGCCAGGGAAAGGCGAGUCCCCAGAGUCCAGGGAAGAAGAUGCUGCGGUCUUGGGAAGGCAAUAUCUCACAAGCCUGGGAGGUGGCUCCCGGAGAGGCCACUGUGCAGCCCCCAGAGGAAGGCGACCCCCAUAGCCAUCCGAGGGACUCCUGCGGGUCCCUGAAAGCACAGACUCCAAAGCCUGUGGGCAGGGAGAGCCCAAACCUCCGGAGAAGGACUACCACGCUGACGCAGAGCAUGAUCAAAGGCGAGCCACAAAGGUCCUGGAACGCCUCCACAUCGCCAGGAACCGCCACUGCCGGGUUCACCCCGUGGGGCUCCCGCCCAGUCCGGCUCAACUCCCGCCACAGGCAAGACCCCUAGAAGGCGGUGGGGCCACAAGGAGCCUGCGCGGGGCAGGGGCCGAGCUUAGCGCGCCCGGGUCCCUUUGAAGUGAGCGCACUGCACUCUGGCAGUGACUCGGCGGGGCGCGAGGGGCAGGUGUGCCAGGUGCUGCCCCGCCCGCCCCACUGAGCCGCGGACGCUCAGCGCUCCGCACCGCCAGGAGGACGCGGCUGGGCGGCGGCGCG